AGAGGUGUAGCUCAGUUGGUAGAGCAUCGGUCUCCAAAACCGAGGGCCGGGAGUUCGAGUCUCUCCACCUCUGCCA
rnacentral:tRNA from 1 species